rnacentral:lncRNA from 1 species
CGUUGAUACUCUUCUGUGUCUGCCAUGUGGCUGGUCACCUCUCCUGAGUUGCAUACUGAGUGCAGGUAGGACAUCUUCGUGCACCUCACUCUUUGUCAGCGUUCCUGUAUUUCUGCCAGAUGUCCCACCUUUGCUAUAGGCCACUCAGCUCUUUAUUGACAAGUGACACUUUUACACAGUGCACAAGAGAUUGUCUUCCCCUACAGUGCAAGGCUUACAGGUGUGCACCACCAGGCCAUUAAACAUGUUCAAGUGUGUAAAUUUGAUGUGCCCUUUGGUCGUAUUUAGAUCCUUCAUGAAUAAUUCUUGAUGCCUAAGUCAACAGCUCCAUGCAUUUAUGGGUCAACAAAUUUCUGUUAAGUCUGUGGGCCUUCAGUCACGGCAGCUCCAGCAGCCUUGGGCAGCUGGCAGGAGGUAGCCUCUGCUUGCACAGUGCCCGCCCGUGUACUGGGUCUAGUGGUGCACGUUUGCUAGGCUCCUCCUGUGAUAGGGAGCUAUGGUCCUGCGUUCUCUGUACAGGGACAAAUCUCAAGAAGAAAGUGACUAAAGUUCCUUGCAGAAAGUACUUGGUUCAGAAGUAGACAGCCUCAAAGAGUAUCCAAGUUGGGCUACACUUACUGUCAAAUAUGGUGGAGAUAAGACUUGGCUAGCUGUAAUUAGGCAAGUUAAAAUUG